GUCAGUGGUGGGGAUACACCUGCCAGCUGUGGAGUAAAUCCUUUGUCAACACGCACCUGGUCAACGCUAAAACAGAAGGAAGGUCACGUCCCUGGCUGAGGAGCUCGCACCCGACAGUUGGCCAGUUGGAGGCAGGAUUCUGAGAUCUGAACACAGCUGCCAGUAGCCUGCGGCAGGCAUCGGGCUUCUGGAGAUGGGCAGUGAACGACUGCAAGGCUCAGGGACCUGGCUUGUCUGUCAAAUUCUUGGGAGUUGUCUGGUCGGGGUGAGCUUGGCUAACAGCGUAGUGUCGUGGGUACACACCUAUGCUCGAGUACACAAUGUCUCCCAUUGUUGGGUGUGCACAGAGAUUCCCCCAGGACAGGCCGGCGGAUUUCCAUCGUGCAUCCACCCGGCCACCGCUGCCAAUUGGAUGUGGCUAGCUGACCAAGACUUCGGCAACGCCUCCUGGGACUCUGUGUGUCAAGCCAUCGAGACUUUAAUCCAGCGGGACUAUGGCAAUGCCCACCCCUUUAUUGGUUAUGCAGUGUGGAACGGUUGGGGGUGGCUGUUAGGAGAGCAAGUAGAAUUAAGAGAGCCUACAGACAGGUAU